UACGUAGGGUGCGAGCGUUGUCCGGAAUUAUUGGGCGUAAAGAGCUUGUAGGUGGUUUGUCGCGUCUGCUGUGAAAAUCCGAGGCUCAACCUCGGACUUGCAGUGGGUACGGGCAGACUAGAGUGUGGUAGGGGAGACUGGAAUUCCUGGUGUAGCGGUGAAAUGCGCAGAUAUCAGGAGGAACACCGGUGGGCGAAGGCGGGUCUCUGGGCCGAUACUG
rnacentral:rRNA from 1 species